rnacentral:rRNA from 1 species
GAUGAACGCUGGCGGCGUGCCUAAUACAUGCAAGUCGAGCGAACAGACGAGGAGCUUGCUCCUCUGACGUUAGCGGCGGACGGGUGAGUAACACGUGGAUAACCUACCUAUAAGACUGGGAUAACUUCGGGAAACCGGAGCUAAUACCGGAUAAUAUAUUGAACCGCAUGGUUCAAUAGUGAAAGACGGUUUUGCUGUCACUUAUAGAUGGAUCCGCGCCGCAUUAGCUAGUUGGUAAGGUAACGGCUUACCAAGGCAACGAUGCGUAGCCGACCUGAGAGGGUGAUCGGCCACACUGGAACUGAGACACGGUCCAGACUCCUACGGGAGGCAGCAGUAGGGAAUCUUCCGCAAUGGGCGAAAGCUUGACGGAGCAACGCCGCGUGAGUAUGAAGGUCUUCGGAUCGUAAAACUCUGUUAUUAGGGAAAAACAAAUGUGUAAGUAACUAUGCACGUCUUGACGGUACCUAAUCAGAAAGCCACCGCUAACUACGUG